AGAGUUUGAUCCUGGCUCAGAUUGAACGGCUGGCGGCAGGCCUAACACAUGCAAGUCGAGCGGUAACAUUUCUAGCUUGCUAGAAGAUGACGAGCGGCGGACGGGUGAGUAAUGCUUGGGAACAUGCCUUGAGGUGGGGGACAACCAUUGGAAACGAUGGCUAAUACCGCAUAAUGUCUACGGACCAAAGGGGGCUUCGGCUCUCGCCUUUAGAUUGGCCCAAGUGGGAUUAGCUAGUUGGUGAGGUAAAGGCUCACCAAGGCGACGAUCCCUAGCUGGUUUGAGAGGAUGAUCAGCCACACUGGAACUGAGACACGGUCCAGACUCCUACGGGAGGCAGCAGUGGGGAAUAUUGCACAAUGGGCGCAAGCCUGAUGCAGCCAUGCCGCGUGUGUGAAGAAGGCCUUCGGGUUGUAAAGCACUUUCAGUCAGGAGGAAAGGUUAGUAGUUAAUACCUGCUAGCUGUGACGUUACUGACAGAAGAAGCACCGGCUAACUCCGUGCCAGCAGCCGCGGUAAU
rnacentral:rRNA from 1 species